GGUAGUGACGCAUCAAGGACGAUGCCGCCUGACGGUGUUUCACCAGUUUGUUAUAACAAACUUGUAAACACAUGUCGAUAAAUUUUCUAAAGCACAAAUUUGACAUACAAUCUACCAAUGUUUCAACAUUCCAGU